GCUUCGGCAGAACAUAUACUAAAAUUGAAACAAUACAGAGAAGAUUAGCAUGGCCCUUGUGCAAGGAUGACACAAAAACACAAAAAUCCUGGUUAUUUCAU
rnacentral:snRNA from 1 species